CCCAAAAUUCAACGAGAACUUGUGAAGCUGCUUGUGGCGGGUCCGUUACAAAUUUGGAUGGUUAUAUCACCUCACCGAAUUGGCCCAAUGAAUAUCCAACAAACAAAAAAUGUGUCUGGCAAAUCGUAGCUCCACCUCAACAUAAGAUUUCUAUUCAAUUUGAAAAGUUUGAAUUAGAAGGAAAUGAGGUUUGUAAAUACGAUUAUGUGGAAAUCCGUAGUGGUUUGAGUGACGACGCUAAAUUUCACGGAAGGUUUUGUGGACUUGAACUUCCUCCUGUCAUCAGAUCAA